rnacentral:rRNA from 1 species
GGAUGCCUACGGGACGCAGCAGUGAGGAAUAUUGGUCAAUGGCCGGAAGGCUGAACCAGCCAUGCCGCGUGAAGGUCAGUGCCCUAUGGGCGUUAAACUUCUUUUGUGCGGGAGCAAUAAUGGUCACGUGAGGCCAGACGAGAGUACCGUACGAAUAAGCAUCGGCUAACUCCGUGCCAGCAGCCGCGGUAAUACGGGGGAUGCAGGCGUUAUCCGGAUUAAUUGGGUUUAAAGGGGGCGUAGGCUGUGAGGUAAGUCAGCGGUGAAAUGCCCCCGCUCAACGGGGUGAGGGGCCAGUGAUACUG